rnacentral:rRNA from 1 species
CCUACGGGUGGCAGCAGUGAGGAAUAUUGGUCAAUGGACGAGAGUCUGAACCAGCCAAGUCGCGUGAAGGAUGAAUGCUCUCUGGGUUGUAAACUUCUUUUGUAAAGGAAUAAAACGAGGCACGUGUGCCUUUUUGCAUGUACUUUAUGAAUAAGGAUCGGCUAACUCCGUGCCAGCAGCCGCGGUAAUACGGAGGAUCCGAGCGUUAUCCGGAUUUAUUGGGUUUAAAGGGUGCGUAGAUGGGUUGUUAAGUCAGAUGUGAAAGGUUGGGGCUCAACCGUAAAAUUGCAAUUGAUACUGGCAGUCUUGAGUAGAGGUGAGGUAAGCGGAAUGCGUGGUGUAGCGGUGAAAUGCUUAGAUAUCACGAAGAACCCCGAUUGCGAAGGCAGCUAACUGGACGACAACUGACGCUGAGGUGCGAAAGCGUGGGUAGCAAACAGGAUUAGAUACCCCGGUAGUC